rnacentral:rRNA from 1 species
UACGGAGGGGGCUAGCGUUGUUCGGAAUUACUGGGCGUAAAGCGCACGUAGGCGGCUUUGUAAGUUAGAGGUGAAAGCCCAGGGCUUAACCCCUGGAAUUGCCUUUAAGACUGCAUCGCUAGAAUCGUGGAGAGGUGAGUGGAAUUCCGAGUGUAGAGGUGAAAUUCGUAGAUAUUCGGAAGAACACCAGUGGCGAAGGCGACUCACUGGACACGUAUUGACGCUGAGGUGCGAAAGCGUGGGGAGCAAACAGG